UACAUGGGGUGCAAACGUUACUCGGAAUUAUUGGGCGUAAAGCGCGUGUAGGCGGCCUUGUAAGUCCGUUCUGAAAGCCCGGGGCUCAACCCCGGGAGGCGGAUGGAUACUGCAAGGCUCGAGUCCGGAAGAGGCGAGUGGAAUUCCCGGUGUAGCGGUGAAAUGCGCAGAUAUCGGGAGGAACACCUGUGGCGAAAGCGGCGCACUGGACCACUUCUGACGCUGAGGCGCGAAAGCUAGGGGAGCAAACAGG
rnacentral:rRNA from 1 species